rnacentral:tRNA from 1 species
GCCGAAAUAGCUCAGUUAGGAGAGCGUUAGACUGAUGUUUACGCAACAGUGAUCUAAAGGUUCAAUCCCGGGUUCCGGCA